GACGAACGCUGGCGGCGUGCUUAACACAUGCAAGUCGAACGCUGAAGGCCUGGCUUUUGUUGGGUUGGAUGAGUGGCGAACGGGUGAGUAACACGUGAGUAACCUGCCCUCUUCUUUGGGAUAACGCCCGGAAACGGGUGCUAAUACUGGAUAUUCACUGAUCUUCGCAUGGGGGUUGGUGGAAAGGGUUGUUCUGGUGGGGGAUGGGCUCGCGGCCUAUCAGCUUGUUGGUGGGGUGAUGGCCUACCAAGGCUUUGACGGGUAGCCGGCCUGAGAGGGUGACCGGUCACAUUGGGACUGAGAUACGGCCCAGACUCCUACGGGAGGCAGCAGUGGGGAAUAUUGCACAAUGGGCGAAAGCCUGAUGCAGCGACGCCGCGUGAGGGAUGGAGGCCUUCGGGUUGUAAACCUCUUUCGCUCAUGGUCAAGCCGCAACUGUGGGUUGUGGUGAGGGUAGUGGGUAAAGAAGCGCCGGCUAACUACGUG
rnacentral:rRNA from 1 species